CGAGCGAACGGGGAGCAGCCCAGAGCCUGAAUCAGUGUGUGUGUUAGUGGAAGCGUCUGGAAAGGCGCGCGAUACAGGGUGACAGCCCCGUACACAAAAAUGCACAUGCUGUGAGCUCGAUGAGUAGGGCGGGACACGUGGUAUCCUGUCUGAAUAUGGGGGGACCAUCCUCCAAGGCUAAAUACUCCUGACUGACCGAUAGUGAACCAGUACCGUGAGGGAAAGGCGAAAAGAACCCCGGCGAGGGGAGUGAAAAAGAACCUGAAACCGUGUACGUACAAGCAGUGGGAGCACGCUUAGGCGUGUGACUGCGUACCUUUUGUAUAAUGGGUCAGCGACUUAUAUUCUGUAGCAAGGUUAACCGAAUAGGGGAGCCGAAGGGAAACCGAGUCUUAACUGGGCGUUAAGUUGCAGGGUAUAGACCCGAAACCCGGUGAUCUAGCCAUGGGCAGGUUGAAGGUUGGGUAACACUAACUGGAGGACCGAACCGACUAAUGUUGAAAAAUUAGCGGAUGACUUGUGGCUGGGGGUGAAAGGCCAAUCAAACCGGGAGAUAGCUGGUUCUCCCCGAAAGCUAUUUAGGUAGCGCCUCGUGAAUUCAUCUCCGGGGGUAGAGCACUGUUUCGGCAAGGGGGUCAUCCCGACUUACCAACCCGAUGCAAACUGCGAAUACCGGAGAAUGUUAUCACGGGAGACACACGGCGGGUGCUAACGUCCGUCGUGAAGAGGGAAACAACCCAGACCGCCAGCUAAGGUCCCAAAGUCAUGGUUAAGUGGGAAACGAUGUGGGAAGGCCCAGACAGCCAGGAUGUUGGCUUAGAAGCAGCCAUCAUUUAAAGAAAGCGUAAUAGCUCACUGGUCGAGUCGGCCUGCGCGGAAGAUGUAACGGGGCUAAACCAUGCACCGAAGCUGCGGCAGCGACGCUUAUGCGUUGUUGGGUAGGGGAGCGUUCUGUAAGCCUGCGAAGGUGUGCUGUGAGGCACGCUGGAGGUAUCAGAAGUGCGAAUGCUGACAUAAGUAACGAUAAAGCGGGUGAAAAGCCCGCUCGCCGGAAGACCAAGGGUUCCUGUCCAACGUUAAUCGGGGCAGGGUGAGUCGACCCCUAAGGCGAGGCCGAAAGGCGUAGUCGAUGGGAAACAGGUNACGAUGUGGGAAGGCCCAGACAGCCAGGAUGUUGGCUUAGAAGCAGCCAUCAUUUAAAGAAAGCGUAAUAGCUCACUGGUCGAGUCGGCCUGCGCGGAAGAUGUAACGGGGCUAAACCAUGCACCGAAGCUGCGGCAGCGACACUAUGUGUUGUUGGGUAGGGGAGCGUUCUGUAAGCCUGUGAAGGUGUACUGUGAGGUAUGCUGGAGGUAUCAGAAGUGCGAAUGCUGACAUAAGUAACGAUAAAGCGGGUGAAAAGCCCGCUCGCCGGAAGACCAAGGGUUCCUGUCCAACGUUAAUCGGGGCAGGGUGAGUCGACCCCUAAGGCGAGGCCGAAAGGCGUAGUCGAUGGGAAACAGGUUAAUAUUCCUGUACUUGGUGUUACUGCGAAGGGGGGACGGAGAAGGCUAUGUUGGCCGGGCGACGGUUGUCCCGGUUUAAGCGUGUAGGCUGGUUUUCCAGGCAAAUCCGGAAAAUCAAGGCUGAGGCGUGAUGACGAGGCACUACGGUGCUGAAGCAACAAAUGCCCUGCUUCCAGGAAAAGCCUCUAAGCAUCAGGUAACAUCAAAUCGUACCCCAAACCGACACAGGUGGUCAGGUAGAGAAUACCAAGGCGCUUGAGAGAACUCGGGUGAAGGAACUAGGCAAAAUGGUGCCGUAACUUCGGGAGAAGGCACGCUGAUAUGUAGGUGAAGUCCCUCGCGGAUGGAGCUGAAAUCAGUCGAAGAUACCAGCUGGCUGCAACUGUUUAUUAAAAACACAGCACUGUGCAAACACGAAAGUGGACGUAUACGGUGUGACGCCUGCCCGGUGCCGGAAGGUUAAUUGAUGGGG
rnacentral:rRNA from 1 species